GGGCCCGUAGCUCAAUUGGCAGAGCCGCCGGCUCAUAACCGGUAGGUUGGGGGUUCGAGUCCUCCCGGGCCCACCA
rnacentral:tRNA from 2 species